rnacentral:RNase_P_RNA from 1 species
GGAGUUGACUGGGUAGUCGCUGCUUUGUUGAUGUCCUUCGGGAGACUGACGCUGAAGUCCUUUGGGAGACUGGCGUUGACGUCCUUCGGGAGAUUGACAAAGGGGAGGAAAGUCCGGGCUCCAUAGAGCAGGGUGCCAGGUAACGCCUGGGGGGCGCAAGCCCACGACAAGUGCAGCAGAGAGAAGACCGCCGAUGGCUUUAGGGCACAGGUAAGGGUGAAAGGGUGCGGUAAGAGCGCACCGGACGGCUAGCAAUAGUCCGUUGCAGGGUAAACUCCACCCGGAGCAAGACCAAAUAGGCCUCCACAUUGCGUUGCUCGCGUAAGGAGGCGGGUAGGUUGCUUGAGUCAGUGAGCGAUUGCUGGCCUAGACGAAUGGCUACUACCGCGCAAGCGGAACAGAACCCGGCUUAUAUGUCGACUCCACCU